rnacentral:rRNA from 1 species
GAUCAUGGCUCAGGAUGAACGCUAGCUACAGGCUUAACACAUGCAAGUCGAGGGGCAGCAGAUCGAAAGCUUGCUUUGAUGCUGGCGACCGGCGCACGGGUGAGUAACGCGUAUCCAACCUUCCCUGUAGUAGAGAAUAGCCCGGCGAAAGUCGGAUUAAUGCUCUAUGUUGUAUUUCGAAGACAUCUGAAGAAUACCAAAGGUUUACCGCUAUAGGAUGGGGAUGCGUCUGAUUAGGUUGUUGGCGGGGUAACGGCCCACCAAGCCCACGAUCAGUAGGGGUUCUGAGAGGAAGGUCCCCCACAUUGGAACUGAGACACGGUCCAAACUCCUACGGGAGGCAGCAGUGAGGAAUAUUGGUCAAUGGACGGAAGUCUGAACCAGCCAAGUAAGCGUGCAGGAUGACGGCCCUAUGGGUUGUAAACUGCUUUUAUAUAGGGAUAAAGUCGGGGACGUGUCCCCGUUUGUAGGUACUAUAUGAAUAAGGACCGGCUAAUUCCGUGCCAGCCGCGGC